ACUCAACUAUUUCAAACUGCACUGCGGCUUGCACAACCAUAUAUGUUUGUAUGUAUGUAGUAUAUUUGCUUUUGGCCUCACAAAUAGUGCUCGGUAACCUGUGGGCAGGGCUUGCAGAUGCGUGGAGUUGAAUGUCAAUCAUCCAAUGGCAGACACAGCACCAAAUGCGACCCAUUUACGAAGCCCGCAUCGGUGCAGCAAUGCUCGACGGUGGGCUCAUGUGACGCUGGCGGCAGUACGAUUAUACUUGACAGCAGCGCAUCCCUCGCAUCGCUCUCAAAACACUGCAAAGUGCACAUGAAAGCAAUCUACGUUCGAAAAAUGAUCAGACACAGAAUAUGGACGGCAACACCAUGAAGAAUGAGCUACGCUCUGUUCACGUCACAACUCUUCUCGCUAGCUACGAAGUAACACUUGCUCUGAAGAGGGCUGCUGCUAUUUCAGAGCUGAAACGCCCACAUGGCUGAAUGCUGGAUUGCUUUUAUAAUCUGAUUUUGUCAAUGCACUUAUUCUACUUAUAUGUGACAGUGUACCAGGAAGUAAACAUACAUCUAUUUCCUGUAAAAGGCGAGUACACACACUUGUCAGCAC